UCGGCGUCGCGCUCACAUCCAACCGCUGGCUUGCGCCCCCCGCAACGCAGCGUGACGACACCGCGGAUUCGAUUCCCUCCCCUCCAACCUCCGUUGCCUUCCGUUCUUUUUUUUGAGGCGAGCCUUUCGAUUUUCCGACGGCUGGUACCGCCUUUUGGGGCUCAGGAGUUGUUGAGCGAGCCUCGAUCUCGACGCCUCCGUCGCCGGGAGCGCGCCAUGGCCGCCGCAGCGGGCUCUCUGUCAUCGUCCGCCGCGGCCGUACGGCCGCGAUGAGCCCGGCGGUCCGGGUGGGGGCCGCUCCGUCCGCGCCCGGUCGGGGCGCCAGGGUGGCGGCGGCGGCGGCGGCGGAGGAGGCGGUGGUCGCGUGGCGGGAGCUGCGGGGCCGGGCCGCGGCGCUCGCAGCCGCGGCCGAGGAGCGGUCGGCCCUGGCCCGCCGCAUUGAGGCCGCGCUCGAGGUGAGGAGGGAGGCGCUGCGGCAGGCGGAGGCGCUGGGCGACCUGAGGCGGAGGCUGGACCUCCAGCGCGCGCGCGAGGAGGAGGCCGUCGUCGGCAGGAGGCGGGCGGCCGAGGCCGUCGAGCGGGGGAAGGAGCGGGUGCAGGAGCAGAUCGAACGGGUGCUGCCGCUGUCCAGGGCCCUCACCGCCGCGUACCAGCGCGUGCAGGCAGCGAAGCAGGCGUUAUCUGGGGACAAGGCGAGGCUUGAGGAUCUGCAGAGGCUGCUUAGGACGAGGCAGCAGUGCAUGGUUGGCCAGGUUGCUGCUUUGUACCCUGUCAGGGUUUUCCAUGAUCUGCCACGACAUGCAGAAAACCCUCUUGCCGAUACUAAUGGGGAGUGUGGAGCACUUUCAGAGGAAAAUAGAACACUUCCAGGAGCAUAUGGAACUCAUGUACCCAGCGUCAUUAAAUCUCCUCAAGUGCGUGGUUUGACGCUUUUUGGCUGGCAAAUUCUAAAGCCUAAAAGAAAGCAAAAGAAUUACAGUGACAAGGAGCUUCAGAGGUCUGCAACUGUUCUGGGGUAUGCAGCACAUGCAGUCUUGCUCAUUGCCUCGUAUCUCGAUGUUCCCCUCCGAUACCCUUUACGCUUUGGAGGAUCCCGAUCUUAUGUGAGUGAUUGCUUGCCUUCAGCAGCUGAAACAGCAUGCUCUGCUUCAGCAGAACAGGCAAGCACGCACUGCGCCGAGUCUGAACUGACAGAAUACCCCCUUUUCCUGGAAUGCCAAGAAGACGACGCCGCUAGGGCCUCCUAUGCCAUUUAUCUGUUGCACAAGGAUACGGAGCAGCUUCUCAACUACAUUGGAGCAGAGAGCUCUGGGAGGCACGUAUUUGGUAACCUGCGAGAGCUUCUAAGGAUCGUACUGUCCGAUGAGUAUGUGUACAGAUGAUGGAUGGAUGGAUUCGGUCCACGUGGUUCUGUAGUGCUUAUGCUGUAGAGAGGUGCCAUACAGAUGCAAGCAUCUAAACACAGCCUCUAUAGUUCGCUCGCUCCAGAAAAGGCGGGGUUUUUUGAUCUGCCUUCCUAAAGCCGGCGCACCAACACCUGAUCUGAGCUGUGGCCAUCAUUGGCGCCCACAGGCUCCCGGCGGCGAAAGAGGAGAGCCCCCCCCCGCCCCCCGAAAGACGCUUUUCGGCGCCGUCCAGGACCAGACCCAUCCCAUCAUCCAUACUGGGGUGUGUUUAGUUGGAGAAAAGUUUGCGAAAAAAAUUAUUGUAGCA